GUAAUGGUUCUCCCUGCUUCCGCGGAAUUUUGGAGGAACUUUAACACAAAGUCUGGAUCUUUUGCAUCACGUGAAAACAUCCUUAGCUGAUUUGUAGCUUUGGGUGAGAACGUUACUUCCAAUUUAGGAAAGGCGGGUUGAACUAUCCAAUCAGGUGAUUUCAGGUGUACAUUAUUUUUAUUGUUACUAUCAUUUUCUUCCUCACAAAAACAAUUUUCAAUACAACUUUCUGGUGGA
rnacentral:misc_RNA from 1 species